rnacentral:rRNA from 1 species
AUAUUGGACAAUGGGCGAAAGCCUGAUCCAGCAACGCCGCGUGAGGGAUGACGGCCUUCGGGUUGUAAACCUCUUUCAGUAUCGACGAAGCGCCCUGUCGGGUGGUGACGGUAGAUACAGAAGAAGGACCGGCCAACUACGUGCCAGCAGCCGCGGUAAUACGUAGGGUCCGAGCGUUGUCCGGAAUUAUUGGGCGUAAAGGGCUCGUAGGCGGUUUGUCGCGUCGGGAGUGAAAUCUUACAGCUUAACUGUGAACUUGCUUCCGAUACGGGCAGACUUGAGGCAUUCAGGGGAGAACGGAAUUCCUGGUGUAGCGGUGAAAUGCGCAGAUAUCAGGAGGAACACCGGUGGCGAAGGCGGUUCUCUGGGAAUGUACUGACGCUGAGGAGCGAAAGUGUGGGGAGCGAACAGG